GGGUCAGUAGGUUGGUCGUGCCACCGGUACGUACUGGUCUCACUGAUUCCUCCUUCCUGAAGAACCGUAAUGCCAUUAAUUUGGUGUUGCGGGGAAACAGGACUGUUACUUUGAAAAAAUUAGAGUGUUUAAAGCAAGCUAACGCUUGAAUACAUUAGCGUGGAAUAAUGAAAUAGGACGAUCGAUCCUAUUUUGCUGGUUUCUAGGAUUGACGUA
rnacentral:rRNA from 1 species